ensembl:misc_RNA Metazoa_SRP Metazoan signal recognition particle RNA
GCCAGGUGUGGUGUGGCACGCCUGUAAUCCCAGCUACUCGGGAGGCUGAGGCAGGAGAAUUGCUUGAACCCAGGAGGUGGAGGUUUCAGUGAGCUGAGAUCUUGCCACUGCACUCCAGCCUGGGUGACAAAGCGAAACUCUGCCUCAA